AAGUAGGGGAUCGCAAGACCUUGCGCUUUUGGAGCGGCCGAUGCCUGAUUAGCUAGUUGGUGGGGUAAGGGCUUACCAAGGCGACGAUCAGUAGUUGGUCUGAGAGGACGACCAGCCACACUGGGACUGAGACACGGCCCAGACUCCUACGGGAGGCAGCAGUGGGGAAUUUUGGACAAUGGGCGCAAGCCUGAUCCAGCAAUGCCGCGUGAGUGAAGAAGGCCUUCGGGUUGUAAAGCUCUUUCAGUCGAGAAGAAAAGGUUGUGGUGAAUAAUCACAACUCAUGACGGUAUCGACAGAAGAAGCACCGGCUAACUACGUGCCAGCAGCCGCGGUAAUACGUAGGGUGCGAGCGUUAAUCGGAAUUACUGGGCGUAAAGGGUGCGCAGGCGGCUUUGUAAGUCAGAUGUGAAAUCCCCGGGCUUAACCUGGGAAUUGCGUUUGAAACUACAAAGCUAGAGU
rnacentral:rRNA from 1 species